AAACAAGUAUUAAAGGUCCCGCCUGCCCAGUGAAAUAUUUUAAACGGCCGCGGUAUCCUAACCGUGCAAAGGUAGCGUAAUCACUUGUCUUCUAAAUAAAGACUCGUAUGAACGGCUAAAUGAGGACAAUACUGUCUCUUACAGCUAAUCAGUGAAACUGAUCUCCCAGUACAAAAGCUGGGAUAAAACCAUAAGACGAGAAGACCCUGUGGAGCUUCAAACCCCCGCUAACAAGCAUUCACAUCAAUGCACCUAGCCCAAGGUUUUAAGUUGGGGCGACUUCGGAACAAAACAAAACUUCCGAGCGCAGAACCACCACUUCUCACUAAGGCCAACAAGCCAAAGCAAAACCCGACCCAGUCACACUGAUCAACGAACCAAGUUACCCCAGGGAUAACAGCGCUAUCUUCUUCAAGAGUCCAUAUCGACAAGAAGGUUUACGACCUCGAUGUUGGAUCAGGACACCCAAAUGGUGCAGCCGCUAUUAAAGGUUCGUUUGUUCAACGAUUCACAG
rnacentral:rRNA from 1 species